GUUUGUAGUGAAAAUCCUUUUUGAGGCUUUUUCGGCCUCAAAAAGAUUGUAACGUAAAGC
rnacentral:sRNA from 1 species